ensembl:lncRNA
ACUCAGUAGAGCUGGUUACUCUUGGACAAGUUAAGAAUGAGAUCAAAAUAGACAGACUGAGUGUUAAACCUAAUUGUUCUCUGGUUAUAAAGAAAGCUGCAGUUGAGGAUGCUGGUCGUUAUACCUGCAGACAAUAUAUAUCAGGGAAACAACGAGGUGAAGAUGCUGUGGUUGAUCUGUCUGUUGUUACUGUGACUGAACAUAAAGACACUGAUCUGGUGACUGUAAACUGCUCUGUGACGACAAAUAGACGAUGCAGACACACAGUGAAGUGGCUUUUUAAGGGUCAAGCUGUGGAUAAUGACAACCCAAACAUAAAGACAUCCCAGUCUUCCUGCUCUGUUACUGUGAGCUUUCUGAAUAAUUUUUGGGGAUCAUCAAUACCAUAUCAUGACUGGUUUAAAUGUAGUGUAUCUACAGAGACUAAAAAAGAGCCACUGACCUUCAGUCUUCGACCAUCAGGUGAGGACACAAAAACAAAAACAACAACAACUGCAAACAACCGAAGAGGUGAUACAACAAUGACAGGACCUGCAAUUGAGGAUGCUACAGCAAAACUACACGGUACAAUGCCAGCAAUUUACUGUCAGUGGAGGAUCAUCAUGGUGCCGUUGGGUUUAGCUGCACUAAUAACAACUACUGUGGCCAUCAGCAUCUGGGCAAGAACUAAAGGGACAAAAACACAGACGGAUGGAAACAGGGUGUGUAAUGAUGAAGAUGAUGGACUUUGAUCCUUCGGCUUCUGUUCAACUCCAUUGAUCAACAUCUUCUUACCAUAUGUUUGGAGGAGUAGUUGGCUGUUUUAUUAGAUUUAUUCAUUUCAGACCAGCUGAUUUAUUGAAUCUCUCUCCUCAGCAGUAUGUAUUUCCUCAUUAGUCCCUCAGUAUAUAUACGACUGAUCCACCAUCAGACUGGGUUUGUGCACUUUACCAGAACUUUCCAGCAUUCAGAGCCUGUUUGUUCUUUAUUUUUGACCUCAGCAUGUAAAUAUGGAACUUGGAGUCUGUUUUCUUUGGUGACAACAUUCAGCUCUACUGUGUG